rnacentral:rRNA from 1 species
AGUUUGAUUCUGGCUCAGAUUGAAUGCUGGCGGGAUGCUUUACACAUGCAAGUCGAACGCGGCAGCAUCGGACUUCUCGUCUGGUGGCGAGUGGCGUGAACGGGUGAGUAAUGUAUCGGAACGUGCUCAGUAGCGGGAUAACUACGCGAAAGCGUAGCUAAUACCGUGCAUACGCCCUUCGGGGAAAGCGACCUUUCGGGCCUCGCACUAUUAGAGCGGCCGAUAUCGGAUUAGCUAGUUGGUGGGGUAACGGCCACCAAGGCGACGAUCCGUAGCUGGUUUGAGAGGACGACCAGCCACACUGGGACCGAGACACGCUCCAGACCUACGGAGGCAGCAGUGGGGAAAUUUUGGACAAUGGGGAAACCCUGAUCCAGCCAUCCUGCGUGUGCGAUGAAGGCCUUCGGGUUGUGCCACUUUGGCGAAGAAACGGCACGAUAAUACCCCGUGCAACUGACGGUACCUGCAGAAUAAGCACCGGCUAACUACGUGCCAGCAGCCGCGGUAAUACGUAGGGUGCAAGCGUUAAUCGGAAUUACUGGGCGCAAAGCGUGCGCAGGCGGUUCGGAAAAGAAAGAUGUGAAAUCCAGAGCUAACUUCUUCGAACCGCAUUUAACUACCGAGCUUAGAGGUAUUGUGAGGGAGGUGGAAUUCUGCGUAGCAGUGAAUGCAGAUAUGCGGAGGAACACCGAUGGCGAAGGCAGCCCGGACAACACUGACGCUCAUGCACGAAAGCGUGGGGAGCAAACAGGAUUAGAUACCCUCCUGGUAGUCCACGCCCUAAACGAUGUCAACUAGCUGUUGGGGCCUUCGGCCUUGGUAUGCAGCUAACGCGUGAAGUUGACCGCCUGGGGAGUACGGUCGCAAGAGAUUUAAACCUGUAUGAACUGACGGGGACCCGCACAAGCGGUGGAUGAUGUGGAUUAAUCUGAUGCAACGCGAAAAACCUUUACCUACCCUUGACAUGUCUGGAAUCCCGAAGAGAUUUGGGAGUGCUCGCAAGAGAACCGGAACACAGGUGCUGCAUGGUUGCCGUCAGCUCGUGUCGUGGAGACGUUGCCAGUCCCGCAACGAGCGCAACCCUUGUCAUUAGUUGCUACGAAAGGCACUCGACGAGACUGCUUGGUGACAAACCGGAGGAAGGUGAUGACGUCAAGUCCUCAUGGCCCUUAUGGGUAGGGCUUCACACGUCGCGCAUACUGGUCGGGACAGAGGCCGCUGCUGAGGGUGGGGAGCUAAUCCUGCGAAACCCCGAUCGUAACUGGAUCGCAAGCCUGCAACUCGACUGCGUGAAGUUUCGGAAUCGCUAGUAACUGCAAAGACUGCGCAAGUGUCGCGGUGAAUACGUUCCCGGCUCCGUAUACACCGCCCGUCACACCAUGGGAGUGGGUUUUACCAGAAGCGUUAGCCUAACCGUAAGGAGGGCGGAUACUACGGUAGGAUUCAUGAUCAGUGAAGUCGUAACAAGUGUA